rnacentral:lncRNA from 1 species
AACACUUCAACUGUUCCAGCUUUUCCUACAUUUAUAAUAAUAAUACCGUUCCUAGAACAAGUGGCAAAGAAUUUUAUUGAUAUCUGAGGUCCCAAGUUCGAAUCCUAGUUGAUUCACAUUUCUAUCUAAGUUUAUUUUUAAAUGAAAUAAACGAAGCAGGUAGCGUGCUACCUAUCUCUGAAAAAACAUUAAUAAUGAUAAUAAUAGGAGAAUUGAUAUUCACAUAGCAAAAUCUCAUAUUGUCAUUGUAGAUACAUUGUACAUAUCUUAGUAUAAUUUAGAUUCUUUUAUUUUAAACAAUG